rnacentral:lncRNA from 1 species
CUCGUCCUAACCCACAAGGGUCUUUCAGAUAUGGUUCCAUCAAUGUGACUGAGAUUUAUGUAUUAAAAAAUAAGCUACCUGAGAAAAUUAAUGGGAAGAGGCGAGCAACUGUCAGUGGAAUAUCUUUUGUCAAUCCUUCGACUCCAAUCAGGCUUGCUGACCAGUACAAAUUGAAGGGAGUAUACAAUCUAAAUUUUCCCACCAAGCCUAUUACUGGACCACCUCGUGCAGAAA